CCCACACCAGGGCCAGGUACUUCUUUUCCAUGGCUGCAUAGCUGACUUCUUGUGGUAGGAGUUUUCGGCUGAUGCAGGCAAUAGGAUGCUCCCCUCCGUCUUCUCCUACUUGGCUCAGGACUGCCUCCAGCCUGAACAUGGAAACGUCUGUAUGAACAAUAAAAUGUUUGUUAAGGGCUGGGGCAGCCAAGACAGGAGCAUUGGUUAGUGCAUUCCUGAGUACCUGGAAUGCUGCUUCACAGUGGGGAAACCAUAAGACCUGUCUGGGAAGAUUUUUCAUAGUGAGGUCAGUCAGGGGUUUAGCAAUAGUACUGUAGUCCUGUACCCAGCAGUACCCAGAAAGACUAGGACCUGGGUCUUGGUGCAGGGUGUGGGUCA